UACGAAGGGGGCUAGCGUUGUUCGGAUUUACUGGGCGUAAAGCGCACGUAGGCGGUUCGUUAAGUCAGGGGUGAAAUCCUGGAGCUCAACUCCAGAACUGCCUUUGAUACUGGCGAUCUUGAGUCCGGAAGAGGUGAGUGGAACUCCUAGUGUAGAGGUGGAAUUCGUAGAUAUUAGGAAGAACACCAGUGGCGAAGGCGGCUCACUGGUCCGGUACUGACGCUGAGGUGCGAAAGCGUGGGGAGCAAACAGG
rnacentral:rRNA from 1 species